AACGAACGCUGGCGGCAGGCUUAACACAUGCAAGUCGAACGCCCCGCAAGGGGAGUGGCAGACGGGUGAGUAACGCGUGGGAAUCUACCCAGUUCUACGGAACAACACAGGGAAACUUGUCCUAAUACCGUAUACGCCCUAAGGGGGAAAGAUUUAUCGGAAUUGGGUGAGCCCGCGUGGGAUUAGCUAGUUGGUGGGGUAAUGGCCUACCAAGGCUACGAUCCAUAGCUGGUCUGAGCGAAUGAUCAGCCACACUGGGACUGAGACACGGCCCAGACUCCUACGGGAGCCAGCAGUGGGGAAUAUUGGACAAUGGGCGCAAGCCUGAUCCAGCCAUGCCGCGUGAGUGAUGAAGGCCUUAGGGUUGUAAAGCUCUUUCAGUAGGGACGAUAAUGACGGUACCUACAGAAGAAGCCCCGGCUAACUUCGUGCCAGCCGCCGCGGUAA
rnacentral:rRNA from 1 species